rnacentral:misc_RNA from 1 species
CAGCGGCGUCACGAGUCUGCCCCACCCACCUUGCGGCCUUUUCAAUCCUAUUUAGUCUUUCCUGACGGGAGGAAGUGGGCGGGUGAGCAAGUUGAAGCAACUACUACAACAUAAAAUUUUAAAAGUUGAAUUGACACGGGAUUUUAAGAGUGCAUUUACGAUACUAAUGACAUAUUAAAGAUUUCUGAAGCAAAGUGUAGAAAGUGACUCGGGAUUUUCUAAGUGUUUCCAAGGGUAGUGACAACAGCAAGACUACGCCGGUGUUUGUUCGUCUCCAAAUCAUCUUAUAUCGGGAUUGGUACGCCACAAAACAGAACCAUGCAGAGGUAGGACUCCGUUAUCAGUAUCCCACACCACGGAGGAGCUGGUGUUCGAGUGGGACCCCGUGGUGCCCCUGGACGUGGACCCCACCAUAGAACUCCCCCAGAAGGACAUCAGGAAUUACACCUCAGACUGCACUCAGGUGUACUCCACAGAUGAGCGUUGGUGGUGGUGGUGUAUUGUUGACUCGGUGGGGUUGUGUGGUGGUGGUAGUGGUGGAUUGGUGACUGUAGUGGUUGUGGUGGUGGUGGUUUGGUGACUGUAGGGGUUGUGGUGGUGGUGG